rnacentral:misc_RNA from 1 species
UACGGAGGGGGCUAGCGUUGUCCGGAAUUAUUGGGCGUAAAGCGCGCGCAGGCGGUCAUGUAAGUCUGGUGUUUAAGCCCAGGGCUCAACCCUGGUACGCAUCGGAAACUGUGUGACUUGAGUGCAGGAGAGGAGAGUGGAAUUCCACGUGUAGCGGUGAAAUGCGUAGAUAUGUGGGGGAACACCAGUGGCGAAGGCGACUCUCUGGCCUGUAACUGACGCUGAGGCGCGAAAGCGUGGGGAGCGAACAGG